rnacentral:rRNA from 1 species
UUAGUGGCGGACUGGUGAGUAACGCGUGAGGAACCUGCCUCUCAGAGGGGGACAACAGUUGGAAACGACUGCUAAUACCGCAUGACACAUCGGAAGGGCAUCCUUCUGAUGUCAAAGAUUUUAUCGCUGAGAGAUGGCCUCGCGUCUGAUUAGCUGGUUGGUGAGGUAAUGGCCCACCAAGGCGACGAUCAGUAGCCGGACUGAGAGGUUGACCGGCCACAUUGGGACUGAGAUACGGCCCAGACUCCUACGGGAGGCAGCAGUGGGGAAUAUUGGGCAAUGGACGCAAGUCUGACCCAGCAACGCCGCGUGAAGGAAGAAGGCUUUCGGGUUGUAAACUUCUUUUG